CGUAGUUAAAUCGAGACGCAAAAGAUACGUUAUUGUUAUUGGUUCCAAAACGUAGUAAGUUUCACGAGUAGCGUAUAACAUUGUUUUAAUACGAACGUCGUCAAUCGCGAUGACAAUUUUUAGCGAUGAGCCAAUACGAUUCCACUUUCUCCUCCCCAAAAUGUUUCGGUAAUCACUAUCGAAUUUAAUGCAAGUGAAAUUUC